AGAGCAGCAAGACAAAGUGCUCGGGACAAGGACAUUGGGCUGAGAGUAGCCAUGGGCUCUGGAGGAGAGAGCCUCCUGGGGGGCAGGGGUUCCCUGCCUCUGCUGCUCCUGCUCAUCAUGGUGGGGGGACCAGAGAUGAGGAUGAGGAUGAUGAUGAUGAUGAUGAGUGUGUGAGGCAUGGCUCAGGACUCCCCGCCCCAGAUCCUAGUCCACCCCCAGGACCAGCUGUUCCAGGGCCCUGGCCCUGCCAGGAUGAGCUGCCGAGCCUCAGGCCAGCCACCUCCCACCAUCCGCUGGUUGCUGAAUGGGCAGCCCCUGAGCAUGGUGCCCCCAGACCCACACCACCUCCUGCCUGAUGGGACCCUUCUGCUGCUACAGCCCCCUGCCCGGGGACAUGCCCACGAUGGCCAGGCCCUGUCCACAGACCUGGGUGUCUACACAUGUGAGGCCAGCAACCGGCUUGGCACGGCAGUCAGCAGAGGCGCUCGGCUGUCUGUGGCUGUCCUCCGGGAGGAUUUCCAGAUCCAGCCUCGGGACAUGGUGGCUGUGGUGGGUGA
rnacentral:sRNA from 1 species